rnacentral:misc_RNA from 1 species
CAAUUAUUGUUUCACUCUUCAUUGCUUGGGAGUACUCAAAAGUUUUUAAAUAUCGUAAAACAAGUACAACAUGGGGGAAGUUACCAAUGUGAUGGAGUUUGAAGCAAUUGCAAAGCAAAAGUUGCCAAAAAUGGUGUAUGACUACUAUGCAUCUGGAGCAGAGGAUCAAUGGACUUUGGCUGAGAACAGAAAUGCCUUUUCAAGAAUUUUGUUUAGGCCUCGUAUUCUUAUUGAUGUAAGCAAGAUUGACUUAAGCACAAGCGUGCUCGGUUUCAAUAUCUCAAUGCCUAUCAUGAUUGCACCAACAGCUAUGCAGAAAAUGGCUCAUCCUGAUGGUGAGUAUGCUAUAGCAAGAGCAGCAUCGGCAGCAGAAACAAUUAUGACACUGUCGUCUUGGGGAACUUCAAGUGUCGAGGAGGUUAAUUCAACAGGACCUGGCACCCGUUUUUUCCAGCUCUAUGUCUAUAAGGACAGAAAUGUAACAAUUCAGUUGGUGCGAAGAGCUGAAAGAGCAGGUUUUAAGGCUAUAGCUCUUACAGUUGAUACCCCGAGAUUGGGACGUAGAGAAGCUGAUAUUAAGAACAGAUUUAAUUUGCCACCACAUUUGUCACUGAAGAACUUUGAAGGACUGGACAUUGGCAAGCUGAACAAAGCUGAGGACUCUGGAUUGGCUUCAUAUGUCGCUGGUCAAGUUGAUCGAUCAUUGAGUUGGAAGGAUGUUCAAUGGCUACAGUCAAUUACUUCACUGCCAAUCCUGGUAAAGGGUGUACUUACAGCUGAAGAUGCUAAGAUUGCAGUUCAGUCUGGAGCAGCUGGUAUCAUUGUGUCGAACCACGGUGCUCGACAACUUGACUAUGUCCCUGCCACAAUUAUGGCUCUUGAAGAGGUUGUGAAAGCUGUACAAGGCCGUAUCCCCGUGUUCCUGGAUGGAGGCGUUCGUCGUGGAACAGAUGUCUUUAAAGCGCUGGCGCUUGGUGCAUCAGGCGUGUUUAUUGGGCGACCAAUCAUUUGGUCAUUGGCUGCUGAUGGAGAAGCUGGUGUCAAGAAAGCACUGCAGAUGAUACGCGAUGAGUUUGAGCUAACGAUGGCAUUGAGUGGCUGUCGUUCACUGAAGGAGAUUACGCGUAACCAUGUCAUGACUGAUUGGGAGACUCCACGGGCUUCUCUUCCCGUGCCACGGUUAUAAACAUCAGAGAAGACAGAAGACC